UCUCUCUCAUGUCACCAAUGAACAAUCCCUGCGUUUAAAAAAAAAACAAUCCCUGCGCUCUCUCCCUCUCUCUUACUACUGCGAAAGCCCUGCUCUCUCCUUGUCGGCGGCGGCGACGAGGGGAGAUCUUUCUCAGCGUCCGCAACAUCGACGGUCGGAGAGAUUCGUUUUUCCAGCCGUGAGACUCCAAGUCAUGUGUGCUGGGGACUGGGGGGUGAAUUCCCUCUUGAGGAACUUAAGCAGAUGAAAUGGUGAACUGAGGGAUAAGCUAUGGGCAGCUGCAAUUUUUUUGUAUUUGAUUUGACUGUCUAAAGGUAGAAAAAAAUACAUUGAAGGAUUUGAAACUCCUAUUUUCUUUCUCAGAAAUGACCUAGAGCCUUCUGGUACUAACUAGCAGUGGAGUACUAAGCUUUGCAUUAUGUACCAAUUCCUUUAUUGAGCUUUCAGAUUGAUUGAAAA